rnacentral:rRNA from 1 species
GCCUUAGUACGGCGAGUGAAGCGGCAAAAGCUCAAAUUUGAAAUCUGGUACCUUCGGUGCCCGAGUUGUAAUUUGGAGAGGGCAACUUUGGGGCCGUUCCUUGUCUAUGUUCCUUGGAACAGGACGUCAUAGAGGGUGAGAAUCCCGUGUGGCGAGGAGUGCGGUUCUUUGUAAAGUGCCUUCGAAGAGUCGAGUUGUUUGGGAAUGCAGCUCUAAGUGGGUGGUAAAUUCCAUCUAAAGCUAAAUAUUGGCGAGAGACCGAUAGCGAACAAGUACAGUGAUGGAAAGAUGAAAAGAACUUUGAAAAGAGAGUGAAAAAGUACGUGAAAUUGUUGAAAGGGAAGGGCAUUUGAUCAGACAUGGUGUUUUGUGCCCUCUGCUCCUUGUGGGUAGGGGAAUCUCGCAUUUCACUGGGCCAGCAUCAGUUUUGGUGGCAGGAUAAAUCCAUAGGAAUGUAGCUUGCCUCGGUAAGUAUUAUAGCCUGUGGGAAUACUGCCAGCUGGGACUGAGGACUGCGACGUAAGUCAAGGAUGCUGGCAUAAUGGUUAUAUGCCGCCCGUCUUG